ensembl:snRNA U6 U6 spliceosomal RNA
GUGCUCACUUUAUCAGCACAAAUACUAAAAUUUGGAACAAUACACAGAAUAUUAGAAUGGUGUCAGUGCAAGGAUGACAUGCAAGGGAUGACAGAUCUGUGAAGUGUUC